GUGCUAAUUUUGGCAGCACAUAUACUGGAGUUGGAAAGAUACAGGAGAAAAUUAGCAUGGCUCCUGCAUAAGGAUGACUUGCAAAUUCAUGAAGCAUUCCAUAUUUUG